rnacentral:rRNA from 1 species
GAUCUUUGAUCCUGGCUCAGGACGAACGCUGGCGGCGUGCCUAACACAUGCAAGUCGAACGAGGGUUUGGAAAGCUUGCUUUCCGAAACCUAGUGGCGGACGGGUGAGUAACGCGUGAGUAACCUGCCUUUCAGAGGGGGAUAACGUUCUGAAAAGAACGCUAAUACCGCAUAAGAUUGUAGUUUCGCAUGGAGCAGCAAUCAAAGGAGCAAUCCGCUGAAAGAUGGACUCGCGUCCGAUUAGAUAGUUGGCGGGGUAACGGCCCACCAAGUCGACGAUCGGUAGCCGGACUGAGAGGUUGAUCGGCCACAUUGGGACUGAGACACGGCCCAGACUCCUACGGGAGGCAGCAGUGGGGAAUAUUGCGCAAUGGGGGAAACCCUGACGCAGCAACGCCGCGUGAUUGAAGAAGGCCUUCGGGUUGUAAAGAUCUUUAAUCAGGGACGAAACAAAUGACGGUACCUGAAGAAUAAGCUCCGGCUAACUACGUGCCAGCAGCCGCGGUAAUACGUAGGGAGCAAGCGUUGUCCGGAUUUACUGGGUGUAAAGGGUGCGUAGGCGGAUUGGCAAGUCAGAAGUGAAAUCCAUGGGCUUAACCCAUGAACUGCUUUUGAAACUGUUAGUCUUGAGUGAAGUAGAGGUAGGCGGAAUUCCCGGUGUAGCGGUGAAAUGCGUAGAGAUCGGGAGGAACACCAGUGGCGAAGGCGGCCUACUGGGCUUUAACUGACGCUGAGGCACGAAAGUGUGGGUAGCAAACAGGAUUAGAUACCCUGGUAGUCCACACUGUAAACGAUGAUUACUAGGUGUUGGAGGAUUGACCCCUUCAGUGCCGCAGUU